rnacentral:lncRNA from 1 species
CCAUCGAGCCCGUGACAACCGCCACGACGUCCCGAUAGGCACUCAUUACCCCGAAUGCCGAUCGAAACCCCGAAAGACUUAGCAUCAGCUUCUGCAUCUCCCCAGUGAGCGACAGUUAUUAAAUCUCACAUUUCAAAAAAAAUCAUAAGUCAUUUCCAAAUCAAAACAAUAAAAUAUUACUUUCUAGCUCACAGGGGUAUUUUCGUCAUUUUUCUUCAAAAAUACCGAAACUCGCCAAAAACAUGGUGUAAAAGCUAAAUAUAUUCAUACAUAUUUUAAAUUAAAUAACUGAAGAAUAAAAUUACUUUUACAGUGACACGUGGGCCCCCAACUGACUAAAAAAGAUGUAGGAUUACGAACCCUUACUUUCUAAGAUACAACUCCGAGAUUAAUUCUCGUCUUAAUCAACUAUCAACAAAUUGUCCUGAGCCUGAAAAAAUGUAUAGGAAGAAGGGGUGAGAUUAUAAAAUCCCAGUGAGUAGACAGACAUCAUAAAAAUAAUCUAAAGCCGAGUAAUAGGAGACAAUUAAAAUAAUUCAUCCCAACCCAUAUAAAUAAUUGGAUUUCAUCCAAUUACUCAACAUGGCUUAUGCACUUUUCAAAAACUUGACCCUUGCCAAAAAUCCAUUCUCGGGGAUACCCCUCGAAGGCAUCUUACCGAGACCGCCAAGGCUGUUUAUUGUCACACACACAAACACAUUUCACCUCUGACAACACAACUGUUCCUCGGCGUUGGUUGAGUCUCAGUUUCACGAGGUGGCCAACGUGAAGUGUACUUAAAUCCUACCUCGGGAGUUAUCCUACGCGCCUCUCCAAUCGAGGUAAGCUCAAUAAUUGGGAAUCGUGCCCCUCUAAUUAGGCUGGCCCACAGAACCCCCGUCACUGCAGUGCCCACUUUAUAAUCCACCAACCAAUAAAAUCACAAUAGUAUGACAUGGCUCACUUAACACAUUCAAGGCAAAUCAAAAGCAGUUCACAUAUUCUUGAAAUCAUAAAAAAAACCAGUCAUACCCACAUUUAUCAUAAGCCAUUUAAUGUAAAAUCAUAGAUAAACAACACAAUCAUAGUAUAGGUCUUCAAUUACUCUAUUUUUGAAAUCAUUAUUAAAUUUGCAAAAAUUUUAUAAAAUCUCAUUUUCUCAUAAAACACAAUAAUUUUCCAAUUAAACCAUUUUUUCAUAAAAUCACACAAUUAAAUAAAUCUACUCUAGAUAAUUAAGACGAUAGUAAGUUUACUCACAGUUCUAGGAGUCGAUAUACUCCUAUUUUCAGUCCGCGGGUACAGUCCUUUACCCGUAUCUAAUGGCUCACCACCUAGCCAUAAUCCAUGGCACAUAUUUCAAUUAAAUUGUGUCUAACAGUCAUAAGCUAUUUCAGGCUCGAUAUAUAUGCAUGAUAUGAAAUGAAAAAUGCACAGGUAGCCAUCUAGACCCGGUAUUGACCUAAGUCGAUUUUUCAUCCAAUAAAUUGGCCAAUGCGUCCAAUUUCACUCCAACUUUCUCCAUUUCUUUUCCAAUCCCUCAAUUCACCAAGCACAACUAAUUAACACACAAUUAGGCAAAUUUAUCUUCACUUUUCUUCUUGGAACUUUCGGCCAUUGAAGGUUCAUGGGGAAAAUGGAUUCUUUUCUUGUUGUUUUGUUUCUAAACAUGUUUAACUAACUCUAAACACCAACAUAACUCAAAAUCAAACAAUUCCAACAUCUUUCUCUCUCCAUACCCAUUUUGACCAGCCAUAAUUUCAUCAUGAAAACAUGUAAUUUAACCAUGGAAAUUAAGGAAAAAUGCAUGGGUAAGGUAAAUCACUAGCAAAAUCAAAGAAAUUUUACCUUUGCUUGAUCAAAUCCUUGAAUUCCAACACUUUCUCUUUGAUUUUUCCCACCUAGGGUUUGUUCUUCCUUGGUUUCUCUUCUCUUCUGGUUUGGCUGAUCACUAUAGGAGAAAUG